rnacentral:rRNA from 1 species
GACGAACGCUGGCGGCGUGCUUAACACAUGCAAGUCGAACGGAAAGGCCCUGCUUUUGUGGGGUGCUCGAGUGGCGAACGGGGGAGUAACACGUGAGUAACCUGCCCUUGACUUUGGGAUAACUUCAGGAAACUGGGGCUAAUAUCGGGUAGGAGCUCCUGCUGCAUAGUGGUGGUUGGAAAGUUUCGGCGGUUGGGGAUGGACUCGCGGCUUAUCAGCUGGUUUGUGUGGUAGUUGCUUACCAAGGCUUUGACGGGUAGCCCGCCUGAGAGGGUGACCGGCCACAUUGGGACUGAGAUACGGCGCAGACUCCUACGGGAGGCAGCAGUGGGGAAUAUUGCACAAUGGGCGGAAGCCUGAUGUAGAAACGCCGCGUGCGGGAUGACGGCCUUCGGGUUGUAAACCGCUUUCGCAUGUGACGAAGAGUGAGUGACGGUAAUGGGUAAAGAAGCACCGGCUAACUACGUG